CUUCCCUCAUCAAGAACAGUGAUGCCAGAGUAGUCCAUCUGGUGUGUCCGGCUGCAGGCUGGUACCUAGAACCUGAGGCAAGCUGGAGAGAUCCCUAAGGACAGAAUUUAAAGCCACACUCUGAAAAUACCAGAGCAGAUGGAAACAGCAUGUUCUCCAAUGAGUCUUUAGUUCUGGUUAACUGUGAUCUUUUUGGUCCUCAACCCCAGACUCAACCAGAAGAAGGAAAUGAUUAUUUCUAUUGGCAGAAAUAAUAAUAUGGAUAAUUUUGAGUAUUAUUUUAACUGUGGUCUGCAUUUCCAUGGUUGUUUUCUUCAUUGCGGUACAAGGAAGAUCUAAAUACUUCAGCAUGGUUUGGGAGACCUCCUGGCUUCCAUCCUGUUAAUCAUUCAGCUUUCAGUCUGCAAACUUGAGAUGAGGGAUCCCACCAUUGGAA